CUCUUACGAUCUGGAUCAUUUCUAUAGUGCGAUCGCCGAGACGCAUCCGCGUACUCGGAACACACUUGACCACGAUGAUGAGUUGAGGGUCUCCGCCUGAGCGCGAAGCCGGUUGCGGAGUUUGGAUUCGAGCCAUUGAUGACCGUUCCUCCGGCCUUAAUUGGCCGGUAGGAGGGUGAAGACCCAGU
rnacentral:snoRNA from 1 species